AUUGAACGCUGGCGGCAGGCCUAACACAUGCAAGUCGAACGAGUGGCGGACGGGUGAGAAAUGUCUGGGAAACUGCCUGAUGGAGGGGGAUAACCUGUGGAAACUGUAGCUAAUACCGUAUACCAUCAGAUGUGCCCAGAUGGGAUUAGCUAGUUGGUGGGGUAACGGCUCACCAAGGCGACGAUCCAUAGCUGGUCUGAGAGGAUGAACAGCCACACUGGAACUGAGACACGGUCCAGACUCGUACGUGAGGCAGCAGUGGUGAAUAUUGCACAAUGGGCGCAAGCCUGAUGCAGCCAUGCCGCGUGUAUGAAGAAGGCCCUCGGGUUGUAAAGUACUUUCAGCGGGGAGGCGUUACCCGCAGAAGAAGCACCGGCUAACUCCGUGCCAGCAGCCGCGGUAAUAC
rnacentral:rRNA from 1 species